GAUGAACGCUGGCGGCGUGCCUAAUACAUGCAAGUCGAGCGAACAGACGAGGAGCUUGCUCCUCUGACGUUAGCGGCGGACGGGUGAGUAACACGUGGAUAACCUACCUAUAAGACUGGGAUAACUUCGGGAAACCGGAGCUAAUACCGGAUAAUAUAUUGAACCGCAUGGUUCAAUAGUGAAAGACGGUUUUGCUGUCACUUAUAGAUGGAUCCGCGCCGCAUUAGCUAGUUGGUAAGGUAACGGCUUACCAAGGCAACGAGGCGUAGCCGACCUGAGAGGGUGAUCGGCCACACUGGAACGGAGACACGGUCCAGACUCCUACGGGAGGCAGCAGUAGGGAAUCUUCCGCAAUGGGCGAAAGCCUGACGGAGCAACGCCGCGUGAGUGAUGAAGGUCUUCGGAUCGUAAAACUCUGUUAUUAGGGAAGAACAAAUGUGUAAGUAACUAUGCACGUCUUGACGGUACCGAAUCAGAAAGCCACGGCUAACUACGUG
rnacentral:rRNA from 1 species